UACAGAGGGGGCAAGCGUUAUUCGGAAUUAUUGGGCGUAAAGGGCGCGUAGGCGGCCUGGCAAGUGGAUGGUGAAAUCCCUCGGCUUAACCGAGGAACUGCCAUCCAGACUGCUUGGCUUGAGACCGGGAGAGGUGAGUGGAAUUCCCAGUGUAGCGGUGAAAUGCGUAGAUAUUGGGAGGAACACCAGUGGCGAAGGCGGGCUCACUGGACCGGUACUGACGCUGAGGCGCGAAAGCGUGGGGAGCAAACGGG
rnacentral:rRNA from 1 species